AUUGAACGCUGGCGGCAGGCCUAACACAUGCAAGUCGAGCGAGCGGCGGACGGGUGAGUAAUGUAUGGGGACUGCCCGAUAGAGGGGGAUAACUACUGGAAACGGUCGCUAAUACCGCAUACUAACGGAUAACCCAUAUGGGAUUAGCUAGUAGGUGAGGUAAUGGCGCACCUAGGCGACGAUCCCUAGCUGGUCUGAGCUGAUGAUCAACCACACUGGGAGUGAGACACGGCCCAGACUCCUACGGAGGCAGCAGUGGGGAAUAUUGCACAAUGGGCGCAAGCCUGAUGCAGCCAUGCCGCGUGUAUGAAGAGGGCCCUAGGGUUGUAAAGUACUUUCAGUCGGGAGGCGUUACCGACAGAAGAAGCACCGGCUAACUCCGUGCCAGCAGCCGCGGUAAUAC
rnacentral:rRNA from 1 species